ACCGGGCGUGGUGGUGCAUACCUGUAAUCCCAGCAGCUCAGGAGGCUGAGGCAGGAGGAUCACGAGUUCAAAGUCAGCCUCAGCACUGGCGAGGCAUUAAGCAACUCAGUGAGACCUUAUCUCUA
rnacentral:sRNA from 1 species